GUCGGUCAUGAGGGAACACACACACACUUCGAAAAGCGCUGUCGGGGUGCUGCUCUGAUGAGCGGUCGGCAACGUGAAGUGUGGAGGCCUAAC
rnacentral:sRNA from 1 species